UCCGAGUUGACCCCGGCAGUCUUCGAUGAGUCCCCGCCAUAACGCGCUGGCAACAUCGAACAAGGGUUGCGCUCGUUGCGGGACUUAACCCAACAUCUCACGACACGAGCUGACGACAGCCAUGCAGCACCUGUGUCGGCUCCCCUUGCGGGGUCGGGCCCCUUUCGGUUUCCUACCACCGACAUGUCAAGCCCAGGUAAGGUUAUUCGCGUUGCGUCGAAUUGAACCACAUGCUCCACCGCUUGUGCGGGUCCCCGUCAAUUCCUUUGAGUUUUAGCCUUGCGGCCGUACUCCCCAGGCGGGGUGCUUAAUGCGUUAGCUGCGGCACGGAUGGAGUCGACACCACCCACACCUAGCACCCAUCGUUUACGGCGUGAACUAC
rnacentral:misc_RNA from 1 species